UUUGAGACAUGGACAUGACUCAGCCAAUAUCUGCAAACCAUUGCCGAAUUUGUUAGAGCUUGCCCACAAAUGCUGAAAAACAGGCAUGACCACAAGCUUUAAGGCAUCGUCAUAAUAAUGAGUCAUAAUUACAGUGAACACUGACAUGGCCCCGAUCUGCCCGCGCAGGAGAAACUGGAGCACAGAGAGAUCAAGAAAGUUGCUCAAGGUCACGCAGCUGAAAAGCAGCAGAAUCAAGAUUUGCGCUUAGGCUUGUCUGACUGCAGUUUCCAUGCUGAACACCUACACUGAAGAGCCACCUCAUACGCUUGCUGUCCAGCCCAAAUUACCUUCACAGAUGGCAACCACCGCCCAUUGGGUAUCAGAGCUACCGCUAUCGGGAGAGGAUCCUCUGGAGUCCCAGGUAUUUCUAUA